AUUCUACUCCCUCCAUUGCACAAUACAUGCCUUCUAUUUGUCAAAAUAUAUAUGUAUCUAGACAUGUCUUAGUAUAUAGGUACAUCCAUUUUUGGACAAAUGGAAGUCAAGUAUUUUGGAACGAAGGGAGUACACA
rnacentral:pre_miRNA from 1 species